UAAUACGGAGGGGGCAAGCGUUACUCGGAAUUAUUGGGCGUAAAGGGCGCGUAGGCGGUCGUGUGCGUCGGAGGUGAAAUCCCCGGGCUUAACCCGGGAGCUGCCUCCGAUACGGCAUGGCUUGAGUCCGGGAGAGGGGAGCAGAAUUCCCAGUGUAGCGGUGAAAUGCGUAGAUAUUGGGAGGAAUACCAGUGGCGAAGGCGGCUCCCUGGACCGGUACUGACGCUGAGGCGCGAAAGCGUGGGUAGCAAACAGG
rnacentral:rRNA from 1 species